UCACGGUUUACACCGGCAGUUUCGUUAGAGUUCCCGGCAUGACCCGCUGGCAACUAACGAUAAGGGUUGCGCUCGUUAUGGGACUUAACCCGACACCUCACGGCACGAGCUGACGACAACCAUGCAGCACCUUGCAAAGAGCCCCGAAGGGAAUCCGCCUUUCAGCGAAAUGCACUCUACAUUUAAGCCCAGGUAAGGUUCCUCGCGUAUCAUCGAAUUAAACCACAUGUUCCUCCGCUUGUGCGGGCCCCCGUCAAUUCCUUUGAGUUUCAGCCUUGCGGCCGUACUCCCCAGGUGGAUCACUUAAUGCUUUUGCUUAGCCGCUGACUGUGUAUCGCCAACAGCGAGUGAUCAUCGUUUACGGCGUGGACUAC
rnacentral:misc_RNA from 1 species